GAUGAACGCUAGCGGCAGGCUUAAUACAUGCAAGUCGAGGGGCAGCAUGAUUGUAGCAAUACAAUUGAUGGCGACCGGCAAACGGGUGCGGAACACGUACACAACCUUCCAACAAGUGGGGGAUAGCCCAGAGAAAUUUGGAUUAAUACCCCGUAACAUAGCGAUGUGGCAUCACAUUGCUAUUAUAGAUUUUUCGCUUGUUGAUGGGUGUGCGGCUGAUUAGAUAGUUGGCGGGGUAACGGCCCACCAAGUCUACGAUCAGUAGCUGAUGUGAGAGCAUGAUCAGCCACACGGGCACUGAGACACGGGCCCGACUCCUACGGGAGGCAGCAGUAAGGAAUAUUGGACAAUGGACGCAAGUCUGAUCCAGCCAUGCCGCGGGAAGGAUUAAGGUCCUCUGGAUUGUAAACUUCUUUUAUAAGGGACGAAAAAAGGCUUUUCUAAGUCGUCUGACGGUACCUUAUCAAUAAGCACCGGCUAACUCCGUGCCAGCCGCCGCUGUAUAC
rnacentral:rRNA from 1 species